UGACUUUACAAUUGGAAAAUAAAAACAGAAUGCCUUCAAGGGGCGCAAGCAUACGAGUUACUGAAAAGAAGUGUUUAAAUCUAAACUAAGAAAUUUAAAGUUACAUAUUCUCUGUUUGAGAGUGUUUGAUUCAGGAGGCUUUUGCUCUAUGUUUUUUCUUCCUUUUAUACUCUCUGAAUGAUCUCUUCAUGAUCAACUGCUUAAAAACUGCUUGAUCGCUCUAUAACUGCCCACUUUCCUCGUAGUGGCCAACUUGUCAUGGAACUGUCUUCUCUAACUACUGCCAUUACUUUUGUCGUUCAACCGCCUUCAAUUGAAUUCCUUGAAUCGUGGAACGUGAUAGGGCUACUCAAUAAUUGAUUUAUUAACCGCACCUUUGGGCAACCAUAACAUCUUACGUUUGCUAAGAUCCUGGACGACUCGAAGGUUUGGGCGAGAACAGGGGCUCAGUUCUGAGCGACUGCAUGGUAAUCCAUUCACUCAAAUCUUGGGUGACUUGUAACCUUGGAAGAUGGUAUUAUCGCAUUCAUAGGCUUCCCUAUUUGGGCCUUUAUCCUGCCUGAUUGGGUCGUUCUGUGGGCUAUUUGAUUUUUGGGAUCUUCUAAUUGAGCUUCAUUCCUUGGGCUAUUCGACUUGAGCUGAACUUUUUGUGUGUCAACACUUUGAAAGUCGUAGAACGUGGGGUGCUAAGAAACUUGUCUAUAGAUUUGAAAGUGAUUUUCCUACACACCUUAUGGAGACCAUACGAUGUUCCCUUGAUAUAUGGCUAAUGUGACACAAUUUUAUUUUGAGAGACAUCUCAAUGACGAUUUUUAUGGCCGAUAUUCUAAUUUAAGUCUUGCUUAUGUUUUUACAACCAUGGCGAUGGAAAUCCGCUUGAUGGAUAUGGUGGUAAAAUUGUACAUGAUUUUGAGCUGACCGAUGGUCGAGUGCUUUUCAAUGCAUCGGAGGAUUGGAUACUUGGUUCUCUUCCUCGUACACGUUUUUAUUGCAUUGCAUGAAAUUGGGCAUGCUCUUGGACUUGAUCAUAUGGAUAUUCCGGAUGCAAUUAUGUUCCCCUAUUUCCUUUAUGUCAUGGUAAAAAAAAAUUUACACC
rnacentral:lncRNA from 1 species